AUCUAGUUGAUGAGUUCCAAAUAGGACGAAACAUGCGUCCUAGAU
rnacentral:hammerhead_ribozyme from 1 species